rnacentral:rRNA from 1 species
CACGGGGGGAGCAAGCGUUGUUCGGAAUCACUGGGCGUAAAGGGCUUGUAGGCGGUUUGUUAAGUCUGGUGUGAAAUCUCCCGGCUCAACCGGGAGGGGUCAUCGGAUACUGGCAGACUUGAGACGGGUAGAGGAAAGCAGAAUUCCCGGUGUAGCGGUGAAAUGCGUAGAUAUCGGGAGGAAUACCAGUGGCGAAGGCGGCUUUCUGGGCCUGUUCUGACGCUGAGGAGCGAAAGCGUGGGGAGCAAACCGG